GUCUUGCCCAUGAUCAUCCUUUAAAAUGACAACGUUUUAUGCCUCCCUUUUAUUGGUCUUCCUUUUCCAUCCCUAUCCAUACUCCAUAUAUGAUAUCUCUCAUGGAUACAAUGAGAUAUCGGGUGAAUUUUCUCCGUGAUAUGUAGAUCCCAUCCCCUUGUCUUAGCAAGAUCUGCGUUAUCAUUUGAGGUGGAGAGACUGCGAGGACAGCUGAGAUGAUAAAAAAAUUGAAGAACACGAGGGAAGCAUCACCGGGAGUCUACUAGGGAAAUCCAUCUUUUCAUCAGUAGGUGGUCACCCUCGAGUAGACAUGUAAUAAGAGAGAAAUCAAGAGGCAAUAGCUCCUUAAUGGUGGUAAUUGAGUUAGAGGUAAAUCAAUGAUGGAAAGAAUGCUCAUUUAGGGUCUAUUUGGAUGGGUGAGGAAAAUGUACUUUUGUUUUGUGAUAAUUCGACCGUCGCCUGGAUCUACAAUUUCGGAUUGAACAGAUAAGCUGCCGAGAUCACUUCAAAAUCAGGUCAAAGUUAUAGGCUACUCCACCAUUUUCAGACGCCUUGGACACGUUCCAAGCAUCAGAAUUGACAUAGGUACUUUUAUUUCGUGGCAAUUCAACCGUCGCCUAGAUCUAUAAUUUCAGGUUGAGCAGAUAAGUUGCUGGAAUCACUUCAGAAUCGGGUCAAAGUUAUAGGCUACCCCACCAUUUUCAGACACCUCGGACGCGUUUCAAGCGUCAGAAUUAACAUAGGUAAACUCGAACUCCGAGUUUCUUUAAUUUUAUAGUGCUGGGUUUAGAAUAAAAUUUUAUAAAAUAUUUGUGGGUAGUUAGAAAAUUAUAAUUUAUUUUGUAUUAGCUUAGUAAUAUUUCUAAAGACCGCGGGGCAAAAUUUUAAAAUUUUUAAAACUCAUUUGGGCAGUUUUUACAAAAGGGU